rnacentral:rRNA from 1 species
CGCUGGCGGCGUGCUUAACACAUGCAAGUCGAACGAUGAACCACUUCGGUGGGGAUUAGUGGCGAACGGGUGAGUAACACGUGGGCAAUCUGCCCUUCACUCUGGGACAAGCCCUGGAAACGGGGUCUAAUACCGGAUAACACUCCUGUCCUCCUGGACGGGGGUUAAAAGCUCCGGCGGUGAAGGAUGAGCCCGCGGCCUAUCAGCUUGUUGGUGAGGUAAUGGCUCACCAAGGCGACGACGGGUAGCCGGCCUGAGAGGGCGACCGGCCACACUGGGACUGAGACACGGCCCAGACUCCUACGGGAGGCAGCAGUGGGGAAUAUUGCACAAUGGGCGAAAGCCUGAUGCAGCGACGCCGCGUGAGGGAUGACGGCCUUCGGGUUGUAAACCUCUUUCAGCAGGGAAGAAGCGAAAGUGACGGUACCUGCAGAAGAAGCGCCGGCUAACUACGUGCCAGCAGCCGCGGUAAUACGUAGGGCGCAAGCGUUGUCCGGAAUUAUUGGGCGUAAAGAGCUCGUAGGCGGCUUGUCACGUCGGGUGUGAAAGCCCGGGGCUUAACCCCGGGUCUGCAUUCGAUACGGGCUAGCUAGAGUGUGGUAGGGGAGAUCGGAAUUCCUGGU